GUCAGGCAGUGGACACCAUUAGCCGUUUUUGGGCCAGGCACAUCUACCCACAGCUGGCGGGAACCACAAUCCCAGAUACAGAGCUGGAGCUUCAGGAGUCAACAGACAGUGCUGUGUCAGACACAGAACAGGAGCUUCAGAAUAAUUACGUGGUGUCAACUGUCAUUCCUGGAAGGAGAGCAGAGCAGUAAGGGUCUUUACGAAGCAAACAGGGAGCGGCCCAUCCAGGAUGUGGAAUCUUCGCUUCAGCACAC